rnacentral:ncRNA from 1 species
AUAAGUAAGAAAGCUUAUAUGGUUUUAAAAGACGAGAAGACCCUAUAGAAUUUUAUAGUUAACUAGGUAUGAUGUUACUGGAAUUUUAAGUUUCAUAUUUGUUUAACUAUUUUGUUGGGGCGACUGAAAAAUUGAAUGAACUUUUUUUAUGCUAUUUCAUUGAUUUAUGUGUGUUUGAUCCACUUGUUGUGAUUAUAAGAUAAAAUUACCUUAGGGAUAACAGCGUAAUUUUUCUUUAGAGUUCUUAUCGAAAGAAGAGUUUGCGACCUCGAUGUUGGAUUAAAAUUAACUUUUGGUGCAGGGGCUAAAAGGUUAGGUCUGUUCGACCUUUAAAAUUUUACAUGAUCUGAGUUUAAACCGGCGUGAGCCAGGUUGGUUUCUAUCUUUAAGAUA